ACUCGGCCUCUUCCCUGCGGCCCCUCAGGAAAGGCAGCUGCGGACCCAGCACAUCCUGGGUGCAGGAGGACCCGGGGACAUCCUGUGUUCCGAAGGCCCCGAGCCCAGGGGCGGACCCAGGGACUUUCUGGGCGCCGGAUGCCCCAGGGGCGGGGGCGGACCCGGGAACGUCCUGGGCGCUGGAGGCCCCGGGGGUUUGGGGGGCGGACCCAGGGACACGCUGGGAGCUGGAGUUCCCCCCCCGGGGGUGGGGACGGACCCGGCCACGUCCUGGGCGCUGGAGGCCUAGAGAAGGAAGGCGGACCUGGGGACCUCAUGGACGCAGGAGGCCGGGAGGGGGACCCGAGCGUCUGGUACCCGGAGGUUUCUGGACGUUUGCCAAGAAAGAGCAAGGUGGCGGCGAUCUGGAACUGGACCUGUUAAUCCCGAGAAGCGUAGGAAGCCAGUUGAUGGAUGGCCGGGCUGAUGUGGUCGCAAAUGAUGCAGGCGACAGAGUUACUCCAGCCAUUGUUGCUUACUCAAAAAAUGAAGAGGUUGUUGGAUUGGCAGCAAAACAAAGUAGAAUAAGGAAUAUUUCAAACACAGUAAUGAAAGUCAAGCAGAUCCUUGGCAGAAGCCAGAAAUGCAGUCCUCCGACCUGGCUUCUCAGCAAUUAGCCCAGAGAGGGAAGAAGCGGCUGGCUCCUGGAGAUAGACUGGAGCACACAGAAAUUCCUCACACCUUCAGGUCGGCACCCUCCUGCUCAGGAGUCUCCUCCAGCUAGCCUUUCUUCCCAGUCCGCCAUGGCCACUUCCAAUAGCAGUGCGGGCAUCCGGUGGUCCAGACAAGAGACACGGACGCUUCUCUCCAUACUAGGCGAGGCAGAGUACAUUCAGCGCCUGCAGACCGUGCAUCACAACGCAGAUGUCUAUCAGGCCGUGUCCAAGCGGAUGCAGCAGGAAGGCUUCCGCCGCACCGAGCGUCAGUGCCGCUCCAAGUUCAAAGUCCUGAAGGCAUUAUAUUUAAAGGCCUAUGUGGCCCACGCCACAAGUAUGGGCGACCCACCACACUGUCCCUUUUAUGAUACUUUGGAUCGGCUUCUCCGAAAUCAGAUAGUGACUGAUGCAGACAACUUAAUGGAGGACGCUGCUUGGGCCAAGCACAGUGACCUGAAUUUAGCAGCCCCUGACACCCUAGGGGAGGAGGGGACCAGCAUUCUGGGAGCAAAAAGGACUCAGGCAGCAGAGCAUCAGCCUAUUUUGAAAACAGUGAAGGAAUCAGAUGAUUGUCAGCUGAGGGUCAGUGACCAGAUGCCAGAAACCAGUGACCUCGAGGACUCCUGGGAUGAAUCCUCGGGUGCAGGGUGCUCUCAAGGGACCCCCAGCUACAGCAGCUCUCAUCACCUUUUCAGAGGUGCAGCUGCCCCCUGUCAGAGCAUCCCCAUGACCAGACUGGCUGUGUCCGGUGAGCCCAGCCCCUGCUCCAGCUCCAGCCGAAACAUUCACGGGGUGGCCUCCGCACAGCAGCCUCCAGCCUCCUCCUCCAGGGCUCCUUUUGUUUCUGGUGGGGAUAGACCUUUGACCAGUGAGCCCCCUCCCAGGUGGGCCCGGCGAAGAAGGCGGUCAGUGGCCAGGACUAUUGCAGCCGAGCUGGCAGAAAACAGGAGGUUGGCACGAGAACUUUCAAAGCGGGAGCAAGAAAAACUGGAUCGGCUGAUUGCCAUUGGCGAGGAGGCCAGCGCUCAGCAGGACACUGCCAACGAGCUCCGCAGGGAUGCGGUGGUUGCGGUCAGACGCUUGGCCACGGCAGUGGAAGAGGCAACCGGGGCUUUCCAGCUAGGACUUGAAAAGUUGCUUCAGAGGUUAAUUUCAAACACCAAAAGUUAGGAGCUGAUCAUGCAAGAGUGUAUUUCCUACACUGGCAGAGCCUGGGUCCAACCGAUGCCUCCGGAUACCCCAGCUCCUUUUCCAUGUCCUCAGACAAAAAAGAGUGGAUGAACGGUUAAUAUGUGGAGUGGUAGGAACAUAUGUGCUAGUGGCUGCUCCCAGGUGUCUCCACUAGUUGAAAGACCCUUUAGAAAUGCAAGGGGUUGCCCAGUAGAAAAAGGAUACAGCCAAGGCCACAGAGCUAGCUAGCCCUGGCUUCGUCACUGAUGGGAGACACUUUAGUUUACCUCUCUACACCAGCUUCCUCAGCUGCUAAACCUGCCUACCUCACAGGGUUGUUGUGAGGAUCAGAUGGCUGAAAUAGAUGUGAAAGGGUUUAAAGCACUAUACACAUGUAAGUUAUUAAAGCAUAUGACCUUGGCUGAGAGAAGGCUGGGGUGAGGCACAGUAGUUGACAAGAUACAGGAUUAGGGUUGUACACCAUGACCUCAUUGCUUAAAUCUCUACUAGUUUAACUUGACUGCUUCCUGGAGUUUACAAUCUUCAGUUCUUAAAACCUCUCUGUAGUUCAUUAGGCUAUUGUAGACACAACAUGUAUUGGUCCCUUUUUAUAUUUGCUGUGUCUGUGACAUAACUACUAGCAAGCACUUAAUAGUCAAACCAUCUUUCCCUCCAUUUUACUUGUCCUUAGUCUAUCUCUAUGGAUAUGAUUCAGAACUGAUAGGAAGCCACAAUCAUGUGUUUUGGUUCAUGUUGAUAAUCUUUGAUGAGAAAUUAGCUAUCUUAUAAAAUACUCCCUAUAAGUAAAUUCUUUGCAUUCCAUGUUUAGGUUUCUUUAUAUUCAUACUUAUAUAUCUUUAGGUUUGGUUUGUCAUUUGGAGAUCAUGGAAACAAUUUGGAUUAUAUAAGCUUCCCAAAUACUUGUAGCUAAUUUUGUUCUCUGUGUCUUUGUUUUCUGUCUAGAAUGUUGCAAAAGGCAAGACUGAGAAAAUGUUUCUUCUAGGAAACUCUCCAGAGUCACUUUUUCUCACAAAGUGUAGACAAAAGUUCACCUUGUUAAUGGCAUAUAUUAGAAGAGAAUAGGUUUGGUAACAAUUGAGGGUGGUAUGAAUAAGGACAGCCUGCAACAGAUAACUCUUUUUAAAAGCACCAGCCCUUUACAGAUACAUCCCCUUUUCUCUCUGAAACACACACAUUUCCUAGAGGAGAUAAGAUGGUAUUGAGCCAGGCUUCCAACUUACUUUAGAAGGGAAGCCAUAACUGACCAUCAUUAACCUGUCUUAAAGCUCUUAGUGGUUAUUUGGGCUUCCCAGGUGGCUCAGUAGUAAAGAACCUGCCUGCUGAUGCAGGAGAUGUAAGAGACAUGAGUUAUUUCAAGAAAUAUAAAAAGCAGACUUGGAAUUUAAAAAGCUUUCCUAUAAGCUAGUGGUGGUGGUGGCGGCUUAGUCUCUUGACUCAUGUCUGACUCUUGUGACCCCAUGGACUGUAGCCCGCCAGGGUCCUCUUUCCAUGGGAUUAUCCAGGUAAGAAUACUGGAGUGGGUUGCCAUUCCUUUUCCAAUGAUCUUCCUGAUCCAGGAAUCAAACCUGUGUCUCCUGCAUUGCAGGCAGAUUCUUUAUCCCUGGAACCACCAGGGAAGCCCUCCUAUAAUCUAGAGAGUGAAAUAAAAAGUACAGGCCUGUUGGGAGAGGUUUUGUUUUAUAUUUUGCAGCUCAGUUGCUUACCUAAAUGCUGGAAAUACCAUUAGGUGGAGAAAUGGUCCGAACCACAGUGGGAACAUCCCUGGAACCAGGAACAGAUGGCAGGCAGGCAAGCUGCUCUGGUGAACGAGUGAUUAUGGAGGAGGCGUGAGGUAGACUACACUGGAAUCGAGUUAGAACUCCUGGGUUCUGAUGCUGUCACGCUUUGUUACAUUGAGCAAAUCACUUGUCUUUUUUUUGUGCCUCAGUUUCUUUAUCUCUAAAGAGAAGUUUGUACCUUCUCGUACCUUCCAGAAAAUUAGAUGAAUAGCAUAACAGAAGACAAAGUGAAAUUAUGAUUGUCAUGUUUUCAGUCACAGCAGCAUAUUAAUGUAUGUUUGAAACACUGCUAACAGUUGUAUUUUAAGGAAAGAUUCUACAGUAUUGAUAUUUAUGACUUCUCGUGGACUUGUAUUAACUCCACACCCAGGCAUAGAUUCCUAGCUUUAAAAAGGCCUGGAAAUGGAGAUAAUUUUUUUUUCUUCUGUGUUGUUUUAGGCCCUUAUGUAGAGGGAUCCAUUUCAGUUACAACUGGAUAACACUACCUGUAGAUGGUUAGAUUUUCUGAAAAAUUAAGGAAGUACUUGAAAGAGUUAGGCCCAUACUCUAUUAAUCACUUAAUGCUAGCAAAGUACUCCGGCAGGGAUUUAUUGGAGGUAAGAGAAGUGCUAAAGCAUGAAGGUCAAGUUGAACUUUAGAGGCAGUAGUGUGCAGACCUGAUGGGUGAAGUAACUUAAAGGUGGGAAUAAAACUAAAGGGAAAGAUCCUAAAGAAGUCAACAGAAUAACAGGCCAAAGCCUGUUCAGAGGAGGAAGUUGUAAUAAAGGGAGACUGGAGGAAAACAGGCCCAGAUAUUGUGCCUGAGCUCUAGGCCCAGCUGGGACUCCCCAUCCGUCCACAAGCAGGUCGCUUCACCGUUCUGUACCUCAGGCCCCUCCCCUCUGCAGUGGGAGGCCAUCCCAGCUACCUCAUAGGAGCUGCAUGAGGACCCAGUGGACAGAUGGCUGUAACAGGCUCUGUGCUGGGACGGUGGGGGGAACAAGCCUAGUAGCAUGUUAGUGUGGGGCGAGGAUCUGCCUAUUGCAAGGGGCCCUUCAAGAAAGAGGAGGAUGAAGGCCAGGGUGCCCUGGUAGGAGUGAUGCUCUGCCUCCCGAAGCCUGCAAAGUAAAUGGUGCUGUGUAUACCAGCCUCCCACCACCCUCUGUCUCUCUGUGAAGUGACUUGAUCCUGGUGUGGACAAAUAAAGUUGCUAUCUGUACACAGAUGUGGGUCAGUCCACUACUUUCUGGCGCUACUGUCAACAUUUGUCCAUCAUCUCCAUCCUCUGCUUUCUGCUUAUCCACUGGCUAACCUCCAGGACCUUACCUCUCUGAGACCUUCAGAGCUACAUGUGCUUUCUGUCCUCAAAUGAACGAGACCCUCAGUUGAGAAAGAAUUUGCCAUUUCUAAAAGUUCUUUAAAUCCCAUUAAUCCUAUCAGGUCCAAAACUGCCAUUUCUAAGAGUUCAUUAAAUUCCAUUUAGAGCCAUUAAAAUACCCUUUUCUGGCAAAUUAUCUGAGUGAUGGAUAACAUACUCAGAGAAAUCAUCCUGGUUGACUUAAAUUCUGUUCUAAAGGCAUCUGAACCACUACAUGUCAGGCCAACAUUACAGCAUUGAAGGGGAAAAAAGUUACCAUAGGCACACUUAGUCUUUUUUUUUCUUAUCCUUAAAAUAUUUGUCCAGGAUAUGGUAUAAAUACUGGGUUUAGAAAAGAGGGCAGGAGUUAGUGGAAAGAAUACUAAACUUUAUAUGAAAGAUCUGGAUUCCAGCCAGUUGUGCUAUUAAUUAGCCAUGUGACGUCAGACAAACUGCUUACCUGUCAUAGUGGAGGUGAUAGGAGGAAUCUAUAAGUAUUGCCAACAAAGUUCUAAGCCAAAUUAAUCCCAUUUUUAAGUCCCUUUCAUUUCCCCCUUGUUUACACAGAUUAGGGCCCUCAUGUUCGGUAACCCUUCAGUGAAGAACCACUGUUAAUUUUCAUCUUCUCCUACUAAACAGUUAAGACUGGUCUCUGGACAGAAUAGCUGCAGCCUCUUGCAAGAAGGGUUAAGUGGAAGGAUUGACCUUAUCUUCAUUUAUAGAUGAAAUUAGGCCAAAAAUCAGACUUUUAUCCCUGCUCAAGGCAAAAGUACCUUAGUUGUUCACUGUCUUCACUGCAAGGCAGUCUACCUAGCCUGGUAGAGAAGACCUGGGAUCAAGUAAUGACUCCUCCCCUUAUCAGCUUGUAAGUUAUUGACUGUCUAUAAAUCUGUUACUCCUGAAUACUACCUGCCAAACUAACCCCGCUUAAGUGCUGGGAAGCUUCAGUGGAAACGUUUUGUAAUCUGCACUAGUCUGCAUUAAUUCGUAUUUCUAUUUUGAGCAACAUAACACCCAUUGUCUUAGUUUUUUCCUUGCCAUACACAUUUCUUGAGUACCUACUUUGUAUAGGACAAUAUCUAUCUACUUGUAGUACUCUGUACUUUUACAUAUAAUAAUAUUCAUACUUUUGCUUUUAGGUUUCAGACAUUGAUUCAUGUUCAGAAACCAAGCAACAAAGAUGGUGUUAGCUCUGAUGAUCCUCAGUCUCGGAAAUACAUCACAGAAAGUAAAUGUUUAGUCAUUGAAAAAAAUGGGAAGUUACUAUAUGAAAUAAA